GAUGAACGCUAGCGGCAGGCCUAAUACAUGCAAGUCGAACGGUGUCUUCGGACAUAGUGGCGCACGGGUGCGUAACACGUAUGCAACCUACCUUACAUUGGGGGAUAGCCUUUCGAAAGGGAGAUUAAUACCGCAUAAGACAGUAGCUGGGCAUCCAGCAGCUGUUAAAGAUUUAUCGAUGUAAGCUGGGCAUGCGUCCAAUUAGCUAGUUGGUGAGGUAACGGCUCACCAAGGCAAUGAUUGGUAGGGGAACUGAGAGGUCAAUCCCCCACCCUGACACUGAGAUACGGGCCAGACUCCUACGGGAGGCAGCAGUAGGGAAUAUUGGGCAAUGGACGCAAGUCUGACCCAGCCAUGCCGCGUGCAGGAUGAAGGCGUUAUGCGUUGUAAACUGCUUUUAUACAGGAAGAAACGACUCUUGCGAGAGGCAUUGACGGUACUGUAUGAAUAAGCACCGGCUAACUCCGUGCCAGCCGCCGCAGUAAGAC
rnacentral:rRNA from 1 species